CAGCAUCUGUUAUUUUUCGACUUUUUAAUCAUAGCCAUCUUGACUUGUGUGAGAUGGUAUCUCAUUGUGGUUUUGAUUUGCACUUCUCUAAUGAUUAGUGAUGUUGCAGCAGAUGCAUUGUCAUGCUCCCAGACUGAUAGAGAUUAAUAAUUUACAGACGCGUUGGUGGUAUAGUGGUGAGCACAGCUGCCUUCCAAGCAGUUAACCCGGGUUCGAGAUUAAUAAUUUACAGUUAAAUAAUUGAAUCACAGUUCAUACUUACUGCUUACUUAGGACAAAAUAGUGUUGCUAUUUCUUUACUUUAGUACAAAGUGUGAUCUUCUAAGAUGGAUUCUUUUGUCAACAUAAUUAAUAUGCUUUAAAAUUGCCUUAGAUAUCAGUAAUGACAAAUCAGUAAAAGUAAAUAUUUUCCCAGUGUUAACAACUCUGAUAACAUAGACAUUUGGCAAAUAUUUUCCUUUUACUAGGUUUGUAUUUUAAUAUUAGCACAUGGCUAUGCUAUUAUACAUGUCAAUUGCAAACAAUUUUGUAAAACAGUCAAGAUUUGAGGAUACUGUUUUAACUUAGACUCUACUUACUCAGUCUAAACUGUAGAAA
rnacentral:lncRNA from 1 species